rnacentral:lncRNA from 1 species
AUUGGCCCAGGUUUUAUUUAUUAGUGGGUGGCCUCGCUCUUUUAUAGUUAAAAAACAGGUUCUAUCCUUCUUUUUUUACCUACUGGGACAGAGGUUCAGAAGACCUUCUUUCAUUUUUUUGUCUCCAUAUUGUAAUCCCACUCUGGGUACCACUUUUCAGAGUUUUUGUACUUCCAAGAAUUGCCCAACCAGGAGAAGAGGCUAUGUUCUGAAAAGAACGACUAGGAGAAAUGAUGAACAUGUGAGGCGGAGCUCUCUAAGAGAUCCUUGGGCAAUGCUGGCCAACCCUCACAGAGACGCACGGUGGGGAUGGGGAACCUGCACAAGGGAGACAAAGUAUGCAGAUCUCCCAACAGACAGCGACCUGAACAUGGAUUUGGUACUGACUAAUGUGAGAAAGCCUGCUUCUUGAACUAUGCACCCCGGUACAUAGUUGUAUAUUCUUCGUUGUGGGUCCUUCUAAUUGUGGCAUGUGGGAUGCUGCCUCAGCAGGGUUUGAUGAGCAGUGCCAUGUCCUCACCCAGGAUUCGAACCAACGAAACACUGGGGCACCUGCAGCGGAGCGCGCAAACUUAACCACUCGGCCAUGGGGCCAGCCCCAAACUUUGGAGUAGUUUAAAAGGCUAAUUCUGAAUUGUUCUUCCUAAGUUUGGAGAAGAGUUUGUUGGUUACUCACCCAAAGUCAAAGCACUGAUUCAGACAGCACUGGAGAACAGUAGAUGCAGCAGGGUUAGAGUCAGUUAUAGAGAGAAUCAAAAGUGACCAGUGCCUGCACGUGGGAUGUGCGAAGAUAUGCUUUGUCCAAUCAAUGCACUGUUUAAUGUAUUCU